AACGAACGCUGGCGGCAUGCCUAACACAUGCAAGUCGAACGAGACCUUCGGGUCUAGUGGCGCACGGGUGCGUAACGCGUGGGAACCUGCCAUUAGGUUCGGAAUACCUCACCGAAAGGGGUGCUAAUACCGGAUAAUGUCUUCGGACCAAAGAUUUAUCGACUUUGGAUGGGCCCGCGUUGAAUUAGCUAGUUGGUAGGGUAAAAGCCUACCACGGCAACGAUCCGUAGCUGGUCUGAGAGGAUGAUCAGCCACACUGGGACUGAGACACGGCCCAGACUCCGACGGGAGGCAGCAGUAGGGAAUCUUCCGCAAUGGGCGAAAGCCUGACGGAGCAACGCCGCGUGAGUGAUGAAGGUCUUCGGAUCGUAAAACUCUGUUAUUAGGGAAGAACAAAUGUGUAAGUAACUAUGCACGUCUUGACGGUACCUAAUCAGAAAGCCACGGCUAACUACGUG
rnacentral:rRNA from 1 species